UGAGGGAAGGGAAAGUUCUUCAGAGGUUUCCUUCUCUCCAUUUUAAGUAAAAGAGACAGAUUGCCAUGACUGUCCAUCUGGGCCUGAGGGAGAUAGCAAAGAGGAACCCAAACCAGAGGAAGAAAAAUAUCCAACUCCCAAAAUAAUGUGUUCAAGAUAACAACAUUUACCCAGUGGAUUUAUAUGACUGGGACUCAGCACACUGUCCUCACUGCUGCAGCUGGGUAGCUUCUUCCCAACAACAUGAAGCUCAUUACUUUUGCAUGGUCAUUGUUCCUGUGAGCCAUCCCAAUUAAAAAUUACACAGAUGGAGCACUUGGAUCUGGGAUCCUUUCAAUCAUUUAUGGAUCAAACACAGCACUUCUUCCUCUUGCCAGCAACAAACGUGUCGUGGCAGCACUCUUGGAGUCUGAGAACCAACUGCUUUAACUUUGCUGAGCCCAA